rnacentral:rRNA from 1 species
GACGAACGCUGGCGGCGUGCUUAACACAUGCCAGUCGAACGGAAAGGCCCUGCUUCUGUGGGGUGCUCGAGUGGCGAACGGGUGAGUAACACGUGAGUAACCUGCCCUUGACUUUGGGAUAACUUCAGGAAACUGGGGCUAAUACCGGAUAGGAGCUCCUGCUGCAUGGUGGGGGUUGGAAAGUUUCGGCGGUUGGGGAUGGACGCGCGGCUUAUCAGUUUGUUGGUGGGGUAGUGGCUUACCAAGGCUUUGACGGGUAGCCGGCCUGGGAGGGUGACCGGCCACAUUGCGACUGAGAUACGCCCCAGACUCCUACGGGAGGCAGCAGUGGGGAAUAUUGCACAAUGGGCGGAAGCCUGAGGCAGCAACGCCGCGUUCGGGAUGACGGCCUUCGGGUUGUAAACCGCUUUCGCCUGUGACGAAGCGUGAGUGACGGUAAUGGGUAAAGAAGCACCGGCUAACUACGUG